AUGCCGCGAAAACGAAACAGAACAACAGAAAAAUUACAAUGGACAUUGGAAACAUUAAAUAUGGCAAUUAAAAGGAUACAUGAAGAUAAAAUAUCCAUCCACAAAGCUGUUACAGAGUUUCAAAUCCCCUACAGCACUUUGCAAAAACGGUACAAUCUUAUGAUUGAACAAACAGCUCCUCGUCUUGGAAAAAAACCUAUUUUUAAUAAAGAGCAAGAAGACACACUUGCUGAUCAUCUCAUUUAUAUGACAAAUAUUUUUUAUGGAUUAGAUACAACACAAUUUCGAAAAAUCGCAUUUGAAUGUGCUGAAAAGUUAAAAAUUCCUCAUAAUUUUAAUAAAGAGACUAAAUUAGCGGGACCAGAUUGGUUGGAGGGAUUUCUUAAAAGAAAUCCUAGAAUCAGGUGUUCGCAAACCAGAAUCACUGAGUAUUAAUAAAAUACAAGGAUUUAAUAAAAAAGAAAUAACCAUUUUUUCGAAAAUCUUGAGAAAGUUAUUGAUGAGCAUAAAUUUGACCCUCAUCAAAUUUUUAACGUGGACGAGACAAGAAUAUUUACUGUGCAAGAAUCAAAUAAAGUUUUAACAAAAACGAGGCAGAAACGUAUAACAACUAUCACUUCUUGGGGAAAAAGGAAAAACUAUAAUUGUAGUUUGUGUUAUGAAUGCCAUAGGCACAUUUAUACCACCACUGUUCAUUUUCCCGCGACAACGACAUUUUCCUCUUCUUGAAAAAAAUGGACCUCCAGAUGCAAUAUAUGAUUGCUCGAAAAAUGGAUGGACAAACAAAACACUGUUCUUGAAAUGGUUACAGCAUUUUAAAAAUUUCGUUAAACUAUCUGAAGAUAAUAAGGUAUUAUUGAUUAUGGAUAAUCACAACAGCUACUCUACGCUAGAAGCUUAUUAUUUUUGCAAAAAAAAAUCAUAUUACAAUGCUUUCUAUACUACCCCACUCAUCUCACCGCUUUCAGCCAUUAGAUGUCACAUUUUUUGGUCCUUUAAAAAAGGCAUAUAAUCGAGAGUGUGAUCUUUUCUUAAAAUCAAAGAACCUUGUCAAAAUUACUCCAUAUGAAGUGGUCGGACUGUUUAAGAAUGCCUACAGGAAAGUAGCUUCGGUUGACAAGAGCAUCAAUGGUUUCCACGCCACAGAUAUAAGUCCAAUAAAUCCUAAUAUAUUUAGUGACAAAGAUUUUCUCGCUACAAAUACCGCAGCCACUGAUAUGAUUACAGAUUUGCCAAACGAACAAGAAAAUCUUCAGACUCCGUCGAGCACCAGUACUUCGAUUCAGAGCACUGCAAGUCAACAAUAUCUAGCAACAGAAUCUUUGCGAGACACAGACAUACAUAACGAGACACCUGCUAUUAACGACUCUGCUGACUUGUCUUCGAUAUUAACAGUAAUUUCUCCAAGCCCAUCAACUUCACGUAAUAGCAGACAAAGCAAAAAUAAAUUACAUUUUGAAAUAAUUACCGAUUUUCCCAACAAGACUGUUUUGGAAGAGGAGAACAGGAAACGAUUAAAAAAAGAAAAUAAAGCGCCGAAAGAGACAGAAAAAAUUUUAAAUGGAAAAUAAAAAGAAAUCGAGUAAAAAAGUGAAAAACGUACGUAGGAAUGAAUCCAAUUCUUCAGAUAAAAAAAAUAUUUGCAUUAUUUGUACUGAAAUAGCAAAAAAUCAAAUGAAUUGUGAUACCGAUGCAGAUCCUGUGGCAAUUGGACUCACGCUGAAUACUCCGGAUGCAAUUCACCUACAGAAUAUGUAUGCGAUUUUUGUUGUCAACAUUAAAAUGACCGAUUUUUUUUAAAGUUUGCACGUUACGUUAUAAAAGUAUAUUGUUUUGUGUCCCAAAAUGACGAAUUUUUUUUUCUUUUACAUUUUUCUAUAAUAAUUACAGAUCCUGUUUAUAAAAGUAUGUGUAUUGAUUUUAAAUUUUACAUUGUUCUGUGAUAAUCAAAGUUUCUGUUCAUAAAAAUAUAUUGUUUUGUACCAUAAUAUGGCAAAAAAUAUAUUGUUGUAUUUUAGAUUUAUUUAGUAAUGGUUCUAAUUACCCCAUGUACCGACUCUUAUUACCUCGUAUUCUGGGUAAUGGGAGUUAAAGCUCUUUUUUUUCAAUUAAAAAAACAUAUAUAGAAUAACUUUUAACAAUUCUUCUAAAUUCUAUCAAAAAGUUCGAUUAUUACAGUUUAAGGAUCCCUUAUGUUCAAAUACAUAUUAUAAUAAUUACAAUGUUUUUUUUGGCUUUAUCCUUAAGUGGCUCUCAUUUGACCCUUUUCCCCUAUGUAGCGGUCCUCUUCCACAUUGUCCUCUCAUAGCGAAGAAAGUUAAUUAUUUCUUGCCUUAAUCGGGCUGCGGGUGGUCUUUAUAUAGCACGUCGGCUGCAUCUUACUCUCGAAAGAGUUAAAUCAUCUACUGACUUAUCGGCGGCGCUGCGCACUAACUAAGCGAGCGCGCGGCGGCACAAUAAAAUAACUCUUCAAUUACGAGUGAAAUAUUCACUCCAAGAAAACAUUCUCUCCAAAA